AGGGUUUGAUUCUGGCUCAGGAUGAACGCUAGCGGCAGGCUUAACACAUGCAAGUCGAACGGUAACAGAAAAAGCUUGCUUUUUGCUGACGAGUGGCGAACGGGUGCGUAACGCGUAUGCAACCUACCUUCUUCUAAGGAAUAGCCCAGAGAAAUUUGGAUUAAUACCUUAUGACAAUAUUUAUUCGCAUGUUUAAAUAUUUAAAACUCCGGUGGAAGAUGAUGGGCAUGCGUAACAUUAGUUUGUUGGUGAGGUAAUGGCUCACCAAGACUACGAUGUUUAGGGGGUCUGAGAGGAUGAUCCCCCACACUGGUACUGAGACACGGACCAGACUCCUACGGGAGGCAGCAGUGAGGAAUAUUGGUCAAUGGACGAAAGUCUGAACCAGCCAUGCCGCGUGAAGGAUGACGGCCCUACGGGUUGUAAACUUCUUUUGUAUAGGAAGAAACCUCUCUACGUGUAGAGGGCUGACGGUACUAUUCGAAUAAGCACCGGCUAACUCCAAACCAGCCGCCGCGGUAAUUC
rnacentral:rRNA from 1 species